rnacentral:rRNA from 1 species
UACGUAGGUGGCGAGCGUUGUCCGGAUUUACUGGGCGUAAAGGGCGUGCAGGCGGUCUGCUAAGUCUAGGGUGAAAGCUCCCGGCUCAACUGGGAGAGGUCCUUGGAUACUGACAGACUUGAGGGAGGCAGAGGAGAAUGGAAUUCCCGGUGUAGUGGUGAUAUGCGUAGAUAUCGGGAGGAACACCAGUGGCGAAGGCGGUUGCCUGGAGCUUUGCUGACGCUGAUGCGCGAAAGCGUGGGGAGCGAUCCGG